UGAUUAUUGGAGGUAGAGCACUGUUUGGACGAGGGGCCCCUCUCGGGUUACCGAAUUCAGACAAACUCCGAAUGCCAAUUAAUUUAACUUGGGAGUCAGAACAUGGGUGAUAAGGUCCGUGUUCGAAAGGGAAACAGCCCAGACCACCAGCUAAGGUCCCAAAAUAUAUGUUAAGUGGAAAAGGAUGUGGCGUUGCCCAGACAACUAGGAUGUUGGCUUAGAAGCAGCCAUUAUUUAAAGAGUGCGUAAUACCACACUAGUCGAGGGACACUGCGCCGAAAAUGUACCAGGGCCAAACAUAUUACCGAAGCUGUGGACUGUCCUCUGGACAAUGGUAGCUGCGCGUUCUAAGGGGCUUGAAGCAUGAUCGGAAGGACAUGUGGAGCGCUUAGCAGGGGGCAUGCCGGCGUGGGUAGCGAAAGACGCGUGAGAAUCCCGUGCACCGAUUGACCAAGGUUUCCAGA
rnacentral:rRNA from 1 species